ensembl:snRNA U6 U6 spliceosomal RNA
GUGCUCGGUUCAGCAUCACAUAUACUAAGAUCGAUAUGAUGUACAGAAGGUUAGCAUGGUCCCAGCACAAAGAUGACAAGCAAACUUGUGAAGCAUUCCAUAUUAAA